UUUUCCCUCAUCAUAUUUCACUUUCCCUCCCUUUCAUUUCACAACAAUCGCAAAGCCAUAAUCUCUUUCUCAUUUUUUCCUAAAACGUAAAUCACUUUUUCUCUAAACCGUGAAUCAAGUUUAACAUAAAUCCCUAAUUCCUGAAUCAAUUGAAGAAACCAUCUUUGUUUCAAGCUCUUUACAUGGAGUUCAAGGGUUUCUGAUUUAUCAAAGAAUAAAGACUAGUGAAGAAAUAUAUCAUUCGGGCUUUUGCAAAAACAACUAUUUAUCAAGAUGCAAGCUUGUCGAUGUUUUUAGAAGACAAUUGCAACAGUGUCUUUGUUUUUAGAAGACAAUCGCUACUUGAAGACACAUUUAAAUUUGCAAACUCGAGCUAUGGUGGCGGUUCAAAAAGUUCUUCAUUUUUGAAGACAACCACAAUGAUUGUUCAUCAUGCAAUUAACGAAUCUGAGAAGGCUUCUUAUGUUGCACAUACUAACAAUUACAUGGAUGAAGAUAAAUUCAUGAAGCAGUUUCUUCCAAUUGAUCCAUGUUCAAAUGUAUUGUUUGAUCUUGCUAAAGAUGGAGUUCAGCUCUGGUAAAUGAUCCAUAUUUGGUUUGAUAUGUACAUUGUUAGGUAAUUAGCUAAUUGUUGAAUCUGUUU